rnacentral:rRNA from 1 species
UGGGGAAUAUUGGACAAUGGGCGCAAGCCUGAUCCAGCCAUGCCGCGUGGGUGAAGAAGGCCUUCGGGUUGUAAAGCCCUUUUGUUGGGAAAGAAAAGCAGUCGGUUAAUACCCGAUUGUUCUGACGGUACCCAAAGAAUAAGCACCGGCUAACUUCGUGCCAGCAGCCGCGGUAAUACGAAGGGUGCAAGCGUUACUCGGAAUUACUGGGCGUAAAGCGUGCGUAGGUGGUUUGUUAAGUCUGAUGUGAAAGCCCUGGGCUCAACCUGGGAAUUGCAUUGGAUACUGGCAGGCUGGAGUGCGGUAGAGGGUAGUGGAAUUCCCGGUGUAGCAGUGAAAUGCGUAGAGAUCGGGAGGAACAUCCGUGGCGAAGGCGACUACCUGGGACCAGCACUGACACUGAGGCACGAAAGCGUGGGGGAGCAAACAGGAUUAGAUACCCUGGUAGUCCACGCCCUAAACGAUGCGAACUGGAUGUUGGGUUCAAUUAGGAAACUCAGUAUCGAAGCUAACGCGUUAAGUUCGCCGCCUGGGGAGUACGGUCGCAAGACUGAAACUCAAAUGAAUUGACGGGGUCAUAGCUG